UGCGCCUGCAAAGGAGGCAGCCUUACCCAUAUUCCAUGUUUUGCAGGCUGACAGGGUCGGGUAUCCUCUCGUGAACAGCAAUUUUGCUGAUUCAAAACCUUUC
rnacentral:sRNA from 1 species